rnacentral:tRNA from 1 species
GGGGUUGUGGCUCAAUGGUAGAGCGCUCGCCUAGCAUGUGUGAGGCCCUGGGUUCAAUCCUCAGCACUACG